AACGUAGGUUCCGAGCGUUAUCCGGAUUUACUGGGCGUAAAGCGCGUUCAGGCGGUUUGGCAAGUCGGGCAUGAAAUCUCUCGGCUCAACCGGGAGAGGUUGUCCGAUACUGCUGGACUUGAGGGCAGUAGAGGGUGGUGGAAUUCCGGGUGUAGUGGUGAAAUGCGUAGAUAUCCGGAGGAACACCGGUGGCGGAAGCGGCCACCUGGACUGUACCUGACGCUGACACGCGAAAGCUAGGGGAGCGAACGGG
rnacentral:rRNA from 1 species